rnacentral:lncRNA from 1 species
GUACCAGCAGGGUUGGUUCCUCUGAGGGCUGUGAGGGAGCAUCUGUUACGGUUCUCUUUCCUUGGCUUGUAGAUGGCCAUCGACAUGUUCACAUUCAUGUGGCAUUCUCCCUGUGUGCUCUCCAUGUCCAAAUUUCCCCUUUUAUAAGCAUACCAGAUUAGGGCCCCACCGUAAUGACCUCAUCUUAACUAGUUACAUCUGCAACGACCCUAUCUCCAAACUCCAAUUCCAUUCUGAGGUCCUGGGGCUUAGGACUUGAACCCAUGCAUUUUGGGAGACACAAUUCAGCCCACAGCAGUCAGAUUCCCAACCUCAACCUGUCAUCAAACUCUCCUUCAUUGUCAGGGUGGUCAGCACAGUGUGUGAAUCACAGGCGCUCGGCUGGAUGAUGUCUGUCUUGCAACUGGACCGUAAGCCCCUCAGAGGGGAGACUGUGUCUGCCUUUUUGAUGGUGGUCCCCCAGUGCUCAGCACAGUGCCCGGUGCAUAGCAAGUGCCCCAAAAGUGCUCGCUGAAUUGCCAUGGAGACCAAGUUCACUCUCCACGUGUGCCGAUGUGAUGGACGGACCAUACGUGGAGUCCUCUUUCGGUGGAAGCUGCUGUGUAGGUGACAAAAGAACAGAACAAGGCCUGCCCUAUGCUGCUUGGAGUUAAAAAUUCUACCACUGCAGAAUUCUCCAAAGCUUCCAAAGAUUUGGAACAACAGGAAGCUCUGGGUUUUCAUAAAUCUUUCAAGGCUGCUUUUUCCGAGUGAAGUCUUCCCUGCUCUGGUUUCCAGCCUCCUCUCUGGGUCAGGCUUGCGCAGGGGGCCCUGGUGUCACAUUCCCAGGGAACGACGGAACCGAGCACGAUGGAGUAAACGAGGAUGUGCGCUUGCUGCAGCGGGACACAAAUCUCCAUGGAGAGGAGACCUGUGACGUCAAGUUAUUUUUAAAACUGAUUUCAUUGUCUUGUAUUCUAGAAUAUUAGAUAAUCUGUUAAUUAUCUCAUACUUAAGACAAUUUUUUUGUUAAUUUAACAAAGCAACUCUGUUCACCUUCUCUCAAUUUAUAGUACAAAAUUUAACAGCCAACAAUUGGGAGAAAGGGGCCCUGGGGAGCAUUAUUCCUGUCUGCGAUGCAUACGUCACCCUUGUUUAUUGGCUUCACCUUUGAAACCAAGCAAGGCACCAAAGACAUCCUUUUAUGUCAGAAUCAGGAGAUGUGUUUCCAAGAACAGCCAUCACACGUUAUUUCACAGAGAUGAAGACUUAGGUGGAGCAAGUGACAAGGAAACACAAAGAAAGACCUUGAGCUUGACCCUUGAUUUUGAACUAUCGCUGGCACGUUAUGAUGCUGUUGGCCUCAUCUAACGUCUGGGCAGCAGGCAGGAGGAAACUGUCUGCUGGCCCAUCUCCUGGGAUCAUCCACAGUCUACCUGCUGCCCAGUGCUGGUGGGAGAGAGUGCGGAUCUUUCCCUGUCAACCUGUGGCUCGAGCUGGGUCCCCACCACAACAGGAGCAGGCCUGACGAAAGCUACUCUGUCACUUGGACUUAGUUCACUUAGAAUUCUGUUUCUGUUUCUAGCGUUCUUCCUGAACGAAGCUCAAGAAGCAGAAGCAGAAGCAGAUCAAGGCUGGUGUUAAAGCCGCUGCAUCUCCCCUGCGUGCAUUGUGCUGCGU